UACGAAGGGGGCUAGGCGUUGCUCGGAAUCACUGGGCGUAAAGGCGCACGUAGGCGGAGUUGCUAAGUCAGGGGUGAAAUCCUGGGAGCUCAACGUCCAGAACUAGCCUUUGAUACUGGCGACCUUGAGUCCGGGAGAGGUGAGUGGAACUGCGAGUGUAGAGGUGAAAUUCGUAGAUAUUACGCAAGAACACCAGUGGCGAAG
rnacentral:rRNA from 1 species